UGUGAGCUCGAUGAGUAGGGCGGGACACGUGGUAUCCUGUCUGAAUAUGGGGGGACCAUCCUCCAAGGCUAAAUACUCCUGACUGACCGAUAGUGAACCAGUACCGUGAGGGAAAGGCGAAAAGAACCCCGGCGAGGGGAGUGAAAAAGAACCUGAAACCGUGUACGUACAAGCAGUGGGAGCCCCACCACCAAAGCAUUCUCUGGUGUUGAAGGCCCUGCAAAGCAGCAUCGCGGUGGCGGAGCGUCGUUUGCGACGCCCAACACACAAAACAAGCGGUGAGUGCUUUGGGGUGGGGUGACUGCGUACCUUUUGUAUAAUGGGUCAGCGACUUAUAUUCUGUAGCAAGGUUAACCGAAUAGGGGAGCCGGAGGGAAACCGAGUCUUAAUUGGGCGUUAAGUUGCAGGGUAUAGACCCGAAACCCGGUGAUCUAGCCAUGGGCAGGUUGAAGGUUGGGUAACACUAACUGGAGGACCGAACCGACUAAUGUUGAAAAAUUAGCGGAUGACCUGUGGCUGGGGGUGAAAGGCCAAUCAAACCGGGAGAUAGCUGGUUCUCCCCGAAAGCUAUUUAGGUAGCGCCUCGUGAAUUCAUCUCCGGGGGUAGAGCACUGUUUCGGCUAGGGGGCCAUCCCGGCUUACCAACCCGAUGCAAACUGCGAAUACCGGAGAAUGUUAUCACGGGAGACACACGGCGGGUGCUAACGUCCGUCGUGAAGAGGGAAACAACCCAGACCGCCAGCUAAGGUCCCAAAGUCAUGGUUAAGUGGGAAACGAUGUGGGAAGGCCCAGACAGCCAGGAUGUUGGCUUAGAAGCAGCCAUCAUUUAAAGAAAGCGUAAUAGCUCACUGGUCGAGUCGGCCUGCGCGGAAGAUGUAACGGGGCUAAACCAU
rnacentral:rRNA from 1 species